rnacentral:rRNA from 1 species
GGAUUGUAGUCUGCAACUCGACUACAUGAAGCUGGAAUCGCUAGUAAUCGCAGAUCAGAAUGCUGCGGUGAAUACGUUCCCGGGUCUUGUACACACCGCCCGUCACACCAUGGGAGUCGGAAAUGCCCGAAGCCGGUGACCCAACCAAAAGGAGGGAGCCGUCGAAGGCAGGUCUGAUAACUGGGGUGAAGUCGUAACAAGGUAUC